rnacentral:lncRNA from 1 species
AAGCUCAUCAAAAAGAACAAGUUAUGAAACAAAUUCAAUAAGUAAUUUAAACCAAUAUUACAUAACGGGAAAAAUAAAUGAAAAAGAAUAUUUAAUACUUUUGAAUACAGGACAAGAAGAAAAUCAUAUAGCAAAAUAUCUAGUAAAAAAUGAAGAAAUAAAGACUGAUAAUGAUAUGUGCCCAGAUCUACUACGAAGUUUAAUAAAUAAUAAAAAUAUAGCAGAAAAAGAAAUAAUAAUAGGAGUUAGAAAAAUAAAAAUAGAAUUCGAAGUAAAGGCAGAAAUGCAAAAAGCAGAUAUAAUAUUAGGGAUAAAAUGGUUAGAACAAGUAAAACCAUAUAAUAUAGAACAUACACAAUUAACCUUAACAUAUAACAAAGAAAAGUUAUUCUUAAAAAGAGCCUUAACAUGAAAUGAAGAUAUAUGUAUUAAUGAAGAUAGUAGUAGAAGGAUAUUACAGUAGAUAUUAUACGCCUAUGAUAGAUACAGGAGCAGAAGUGAUAAUGAUAUGUGCCCAGAUCUACCACGAAGUUUAAUAAAUAAUAAAAAUAUAGCAGAAAAAGAAAUAAUAAUAGGAGUUAGAAAAAUAAAAAUAGAAUUCGAAGUAAAGGAAGAAAUGCAAAAAACAGAUAUAAUAUUAGGAAUAAAAUGGUUAGAACAAGUAAAACCAUAUAAUAUAGAACAUACACAAUUAACCUUAACAUAUAACAAAGAAAAGUUAUUCUUAAAAAGAGCCUUAACAUGAAAUGAAGAUAUAUGUAUUAAUGAAGAUAGUA